UAUAUGCUGAGCAUGAUGCCAUAUGGUAAGAAAUAUUCCUUUGGUCAGUCAGGGUCAGCUGUCCCGGCUGUGCCUCAUCCCAGCUCUUUGUGCAUCUCCAGCCUCCUCACUGGUG